GCCUGGGUGGCUCAGUCGGUCAAGCAUCUGACUUCAGCUCAGGUCAUGAUCUUACACUCCGUGGGUUCGAGCCCCGCGUUGGGCU
rnacentral:tRNA from 1 species